rnacentral:rRNA from 1 species
UAGGGAAUCUUCCGCAAUGGGCGAAAGCCUGACGGAGCAACGCCGCGUGAGCGAGGAAGGUCUUCGGAUCGUAAAGCUCUGUUGCCAGGGAAGAAAAGGCGCUUGUUGACUGCAGGCGCAUUGACGGUACCUGAGACAGAAAGCCCCGGCUAACUACGUGCCAGCAGCCGCGGUAAUACGUAGGGGGCAAGCGUUGUCCGGAAUUAUUGGGCGUAAAGCGCGCGUAGGCGGCCCUUUAAGUCUCGUGUUUAAACCCGGAGCUCAACUUCGGGUCGCACGGGAAACUGGGGGGCUUGAGUGCAGGAGAGGGAAGCGGAAUUCCACGUGUAGCGGUGAAAUGCGUAGAGAUGUGGAGGAACACCAGUGGCGAAGGCGGCUUCCUGGUCUGUAACUGACGCUGAGGCGCGAAAGCGUGGGGAGCAAACA